GCCUACGGCCAGACUGGACUAAUUGCACCUGAUCCCGUCCGAUCUCGGAAGCUAAACAGUCCCGGGCCCAGCUAGUACCUGGAUGGGAGACUGCCUGGGAAUCCCGGGUACCGUAGGCC
rnacentral:rRNA from 1 species